AAACUGCUGUGUUUGACGUCUGUCACCCCAUUAAUCGCCAGGGUUGAUUCUGCUGAUCUGGCUGGCUAGGCGGGUGUCCCCUUCCUCCCUCACCGCUCCAUGUGCGUCCCUCCCGAAGCUGCGCGCUCGAUUGAAGAGGACGGCCUUCCCCGAAUAGACACGGACCGGUCUUCGGUCGAGGGUAUAGGAGUAGCUGCGCUCCCCUGCUAGAACCUCCAAACAAGAAUAAAUAAUAAUAAAAUAAAUAAUAAUAGGAGAAAAAUAUCUUUCUGUCCUUUUUCUACUAAAUAAUAGACAUGGAUUAAGCUGAAACUCUAUUUAU
rnacentral:snRNA from 1 species